AAACCAGUCUAGUCUGAUAUACUCAGCAACUCCAUCCAACUAGUCUGAUUUUGUCUGUAGUUGUAGGGUGGGCUUGUGUAUGAGAGCUGACAACCAAUGAGCACGCACCCAGAAUUACAAUGCACAGAAUGCAGUGACGAGGAUAAGCAACGCUGGAGUUUUGGACAGGAACAGAAGAGACACUCGUCUGUCUGAUAUGUCAUGUUUUGCAUAACA